rnacentral:tRNA from 1 species
GUCCCCAUCGUCUAGAGGCCUAGGACACCAGGUUUUCAUCCUGGUAACCGGGGUUCGAAUCCCCGUGGGGACGCCA